UACGUAGGGGGCAAGCGUUGUCCGGAUUUAUUGGGCGUAAAGAGCGUGUAGGCGGCCUGGAAGGUCUGCUGUGAAAACUCGAGGCUCAACCUCGAGCGUGCACCCGAUACUGCCGGGCUUGAGGCAGGUAGGGGAGAUCGGAAUUCCUGGUGUAGCGGUGAAAUGCGCAGAUAUCAGGAGGAACACCGGUGGCGAAGGCGGAUCUCUGGGCCUGUCCUGACGCUGAGGCGCGAAAGCUAGGGGAGCGAACAGG
rnacentral:rRNA from 1 species